rnacentral:sRNA from 1 species
UGAGUCCGACAGAGUCAUACAUGUUUAUGAUUAAGAGAUAUUCUUUUUGUGUACUAUUUGAUUUUGCCGAGAAAAAAUGAAGAAGAAUUCAAGAAUGAGAUGAGGGUGUCUUCUUCCUGUAGAAGUCCAAAUGAAACACCUUAUUUCCAAUCACAGCCACAACCUGGGGGAGAAGUAUCAAAUCCUCCACAGGCAUUGUGAUUUCUGUGGAUAUGAAUAA